rfam:Pan troglodytes isolate Yerkes chimp pedigree #C0471 (Clint) chromosome 17, whole genome shotgun sequence.
GCCAGGCAUGGUGGCGUGUGCCUGUAAUCCCAGCUACUAGGGAGGCUGAUGUGGGAGAAUUGCUUGAACCCAGGAGGUGGGGAUUGCAGUGAGCCAAGAUUGCGCCACUGCACUCCAGCCUGGGUGACAGAGCCAGACUUCGUCUCAA